UACGGGGGGAGCAAGCGUUGUUCGGAUUUACUGGGCGUAAAGGGCGCGUAGGCGGCCACCGCACGUCAAUUGUGAAAUCUCCGGGCUUAACUCGGAAAGGUCAACUGAUACUGCGGGGCUAGAGUGCGGAAGGGGCAACUGGAAUUCCUGGUGUAGCGGUGGAAUGCGCAGAUAUCAGGAGGAACACCGAUGGCGAAGGCAGCUCGCUGGGACGGUACUGACGCUGAGGCGCGAAAGCGUGGGGAGCGAACAGG
rnacentral:rRNA from 1 species